rnacentral:rRNA from 1 species
AGGACGAACGCUGGCGGCGUGCUUAACACAUGCAAGUCGAACGAAGUCCAUCCGGUAGCAAUACCGGUGAAGGCUUAGUGGCGAACGGGUGAGUAACACGUGAGCAACCUGCCCCGAAGACCGGGAUAACAGCGGGAAACCGCUGCUAAUACCGGAUGUCCCCACCGGAUCGCAUGGUCUGGUGAGGAAAGCCUUUACGCUUCGGGAGGGACUCGCGGCCUAUCAGCUUGUUGGUGAGGUAACGGCCCACCAAGGCGACGACGGGUAGCUGGUCUGAGAGGACGAUCAGCCACACUGGGACUGAGACACGGCCCAGACUCCUACGGGAGGCAGCAGUGGGGAAUCUUGCGCAAUGGGCGAAAGCCUGACGCAGCAACGCCGCGUGCGGGAUGAAGGCCUUCGGGUUGUAACCGCUUUCAGCAGGGACGAUAAUGACGGUACCUGCAGAAGAAGCUCCGGCCAACUACGCGCCAGCAGCCGCGGU